rnacentral:tRNA from 2 species
GCCGAUGUAGCUCAGUGGUAGAGCACACCCUUGGUAAGGGUGAGGUCACGAGUUCGACUCUCGUCAUCGGCU